AUUGAACGCUGGCGGCAUGCCUUACACAUGCAAGUCGAACGGCAGCACGGUUAGUUGUUGCUGGUGGCGGGUGCGGGUCGCGGACGUGUUACAUCUACAUCUGACUCUACUUUUUCGUUAGGCCGACCGUAGGCGAAUUUAUGCUAAUACCGCAUACGACCUGCGGGUGGAAGCACUUCGGCUUCCGCCCUUUCGCGUUUGCCUGAGCCGAUGUCGGAUUAGCUAGUUGGCGGGGCAAAGGCCCACCAAGGCGACGAUCCGUAGCUGGUCUACGAGGAUGAUCAGCCAAACUGGGACUGAGACACGGUCCAGACUCCUACGGGAGGCAGCAGUGGGGAAUUUUGGACAAAGGGCGAAAGCCUGAUCCAGCCAUACCGCGUGGGUGAAGAAGGCCUUCGGGUUGUAAAGCCCUUUUGUUGGGAAAGAAAAGCAGUGGGCUAAUACCGCGCGGUGAUGACGGUACCGGAAGAAUAAGCACCGGCUAACUACGUG
rnacentral:rRNA from 1 species